rnacentral:rRNA from 1 species
AUUGAACGCUGGCGGCAGGCCUAACACAUGCAAGUCGAACGAGUGGCGGACGGGUGAGUAAUGUAUGGGAAAAUGCCUGAUGGAGGGGGAUAACUACUGGAAACGGUAGCUAAUACCGCAUACCAUCAGAUGUGCCCAGAUGGGAUUCGCUAGGUGGUGGGUAACGGCACACCAAGGCGACGAUCCCUAGCUGGUCUGAGAGGAUGACCAGCCUCACUGAAACUGAGCCACGGUCCAGCCUCCUACGGGAGGCAGCAGUGGGGAAUAUUGCCGCAUGGGCGCAAGCCUGAUGCAGCCAUGCCGCGUGUAUGAAGAAGGCCUGCGGGUUGUAAAGUACUUUCAGCGGGGAGGCGUUACCCGCAGAAGAGGCACCGGCUAACUCCGUGCCAGCAGCCGCGGUAAUUC